CCGCUUCCCAGCCCGGGUCAGCCCGGCCCCCCAUUACCGCAGCCUCUGAAAUCAUUGUUGUUGACGUCCCAGUCAAGGCUAUGGCGAUUAGAACUGCAAUACCCCAGGAUGGCCCCGUGAGACAAGUGAGGGCAAGGCUUUGGAAUCACUUCACCUGUCCCUUAUUCAUUGGGCAGGCAGGAAGCAGGGAGACCCGUUUGGGUCCUUUCAGCUCUUUUAACUGCUGGACUGGUGACCCCGGCGCUCCUGCACCACAUUUCCCGAGCUGGCCCGCCUCCAGACACCUGUUAAUUAUGUGUCCUCCUGGAAGAGAGAGAUCACAGGCCCUGCCCCCCCCCCCCCCCCUGAGGCCAUAUUCCCGCCACAGUGACGGUCGCCCUCCAUCAGCACACCUGGGAGGUGACAAAAAGUCACGUCUGCUCUCGAGCCCCCUGUGUUUCCAUGGCGACUCGAGGACCAUGCAGCCAAGGGAGAGACAGCUUCUACCGUGUAUUUGUGUGUGUGUGCGUGUGCGUGUGUCUA